AAGCAUCUUGACCACCAUUAAAUUGUGGAGUAUCUUAUUCUAUUCUGCUGGAGAUUUUAUUUUGUUGUAGCUACCUUUCUCAGCAGUGAACAGGACAGACCAGUUCUUGGGUGAAUUGCUCUUGUGGUUUGAGGCAGAUGGAAAUUUUACUCCUAGCUCUGCUGGUUCAUGUGUAUCCCAGACCAGGUAAGAAAGUGACUGUUACCCCAGCCAAGCACAUGUUGCUUCUGUGGCUCAGUGAAGUCGUUGCAGGAGGAGUGUGCCACCCAGAGAGAACACAUCAUUAAAAGCACAUGGCCUAAGGGUAUGAGUAUCUGAAAGGAUGGGGACCAGACUUUCAGGCCUUGCUUUGACCUGGCUGAAAGCUGGUGGUUAAGAGGUUCACGUCGCAUAUUUCUGGCAGACAUGUCCCUUUUCCUGGGGCAGCAGAUGCUUGUUUGCUUGCUUGCUUUCUAAAGCUGAUCUGUGUAUCUGUGAGGAGAUUCACAGGAUAAAUUUAAUACAUUAAUCCAGAGGCUCUCUCCCUAGCCUGUUAUGUGGAAAAAUGAAUGUGCUGGAGCACACUGUCUAGUUUCAUCUUGGAAGCAUCGUUUUGGCUUUAUCUCAGAACUUCUGUGUUACAGCAGACCAUUUCCCUAUUAGAGCUGCUCUCCUUUUGGCUAACUUCUUAGCCCAGUAGUUUUGUUACUGACCUGACUUAAGAAAUGUGUUCAUAGCUGACAGGCUUCUGGCUAUUUGUGGAGUCACUUCUUUCCCCCCUUCUUUCCUGCUUUGUGUUAGGUCCUUAUGCUGGAGAAGAGGCUUCCUGGCUUUUAGCCCCCUUGUGAAUGCAAGGGAACAAACUGCAGUUGUGUUACUGGAGAGGUUAGUGGGCAUUUCUUAGUCUCUGCAGUGUCCUUCAUUUUCUGCUGGCUUGCUUUAGCCUAAUUAGCCACCAUGAAGAUCAGUUGGAGCAGGAGGCCAUCAGGAAAUGGAAUGGUUGCUUCAAAGCCUUGUGCACUGUAGCAGUUUCAAAGGAGUGCAGAAAACUGACGCUCCAGAUUCUGCUGUCCUACAGCCUGGAGCAAGGAUUGGGUCCUUAAGGUCCCACAUUUGCUGCAAAUUGACCUAACCACUGAGAUAUCACUUGUGCAACUAAUUUACUGCCUUUUCUACUGGGUAAGACAAAGUGGAAGCUACAACAGAAGAUAAUUCUCUAGAACUGGUGAGUCCCUAUAAGCACAACUAGUGAAUCUGUCAUCACUUGCGGUGUAAAGAAGCCAAAGUUAGCCUGAAGCAUUGUUCUUUUAUGUAACAGAGGGGAAAUGGCUCUGGUCCAGUUGAUCCAGAAGCCUGAGGAGCCAGACCAUCCUGUGAUGUUGGCCUGAUUAGCUGUAAAUAAUCCGGGCUCAACUGCCCUGUUCUGUGUCUUUGCUCUUUGCUGUUUUCUCACUGAGGGGAGGGGGAAGGUUUUCUAGCUACAAGGCUAGGAGAUCCUGUGUUUAUGAAUGGGACUACCUGUACUGUGAACUGGUUCUGGUGCAUGCAAGGAAUGAAGCAUGGAGAGAGAGAGUGGGUUUAUAAAUGCUUGUACAGAAGCGUCUGGAUAAUUAACUCAACUAUUAAGUAGGAGCAUUUAAAUCCUUAAAGACAUUUUCUGUGGGAAAUACAGGCACACAAGAGAUGUGGUUUGAUGCUGACUUCUACCUAAAUUGCACAUCAGGAAUUGAGGUGGUGUUUUGAGUCUGACCUGGAAUAAUUUAUUCCAUAUCACAAGGAUUUAAACCUAGUCUUCCUGCCAGGAUAACACCAUCAUCACUAGGCCAUUUUUACCAGCUCAUCCGUUUCCACUGACAAGCUGGUGUGCUACAAUUGAGGGCCCAGGUCAAUUUGCUCUUUUGGUCCUGCAGGAACAAACGCCAGUUAACAGUGGGGGGCAGGAGCGGACACCAGCCCGAGUCACAGAGGGUAUUCCAGGAUAGCAUGGUCACUCUUUCAGGUGGUCUCAUGGGAGCAUCCUAAGCCUUGCAUAUUACCCUUUCCCACAGUUGCUGUAUGUGAAAGGUCUUUGAUCUAUGAAUGAGCCCAACACAUGGUGCUUGCUCACUGUAUGUUAACAGCAGAGAUGUUAUUUUUGGCUCUUGAAUUCUUUUUCUCCUUGACUAUUAGAGCUGAAAGACCUUUCGUCCUUAAGACAGGCAGCUGUUCACUACAUAGUGUGUUUGGGACAACGUGCUACAUAAUGCUGACACCUCUAUUGGGAGCAAUUUUUUUUGCAAAAUGGAACAAGGGAGAGGAUUAUGCAGCUUCAUCCAGGUCAUGCUAUUUGGAAGAAGUUAUGGAAGAAAGUCAAGAGCAUCUGGGUUGGUACAG